rnacentral:lncRNA from 1 species
AAAUCUUUAGUUUGUGCCACUAGAGAUACCAAACCUUUAAAAAAUAAGUAAAGCCAGUCCAAAAUAACAGUUUCCGUCUAUUUGACCGCCAAAACCGUCAGUUGACCCCUCUAAUGAUAUUUUCAAGAAUUUUCCCCAAAUAAGUGAAGGGCAAUAUUGGCAUUACACACAUUUCCCUUCUCAACAUCAAACACGUUAGUUGCAACUUCAUUCCACUCACCAUCCACUAUGGACCCUGUGAAAACCUACGAAGAAGACGAAACGUACGUCAAAGAAGACAAACAUCCAGUGGACAUUGCAUCCCACAUUCGAGGCUCUCUUCCCCAACCCAUGUAUGGUUAGUGUGUUUCCAUUUUUUCGAUUUACGGUGUGAAUUUCUGUGAUUAUGAAGUUCCCCUGUUCGAUUGUCUUCACGUACUGGAAAAUUCAAAAAUUUUAAAUGACUUGGUAUAUUAGAGCGUAAUGCUUGUGUACUAUUUUUUCUGCACAUGUUUGUUGCUCGAACUAAAAAGGGCUGGGGAUUAACUUUAUUUUUUUCAUUUUUUUUUCAGGGGAAAAUUCAAAGUACUUCAGCAUACAGCUUUAUCAUGGUAGAAUUUUAUUUCGGAAGAUAAGAAAUUUUGUGUGUGAGCGUGGAAAAAUAAGUUAUAUAGACUAUAUCGACCCAGACUUCUUCAAUAGAUUUCUUUUGGACAGUGCCAUGAAGAUGUUAG